rnacentral:rRNA from 1 species
GGGUUGUGAGGUUAAGCGACUAAGCGUACACGGUGGAUGCCCUGGCAGUCAGAGGCGAUGAAGGACGUGCUAAUCUGCGAUAAGCGUCGGUAAGGUGAUAUGAACCGUUAUAACCGGCGAUUUCCGAAUGGGGAAACCCAGUGUGAUUCGUCACACUAUCAUUAACUGAAUCCAUAGGUUAAUGAGGCGAACCGGGGGAACUGAAACAUCUAAGUACCCCGAGGAAAAGAAAUCAACCGAGAUUCCCCCAGUAGCGGCGAGCGAACGGGGAGCAGCCCAGAGCCUGAAUCAGUGUGUGUGUUAGUGGAAGCGUCUGGAAAGGCGUGCGAUACAGGGUGACAGCCCCGUACACAAAAAUGCACAUACUGUGAGCUCGAUGAGUAGGGCGGGACACGUGGUAUCCUGUCUGAAUAUGGGGGGACCAUCCUCCAAGGCUAAAUACUCCUGACUGACCGAUAGUGAACCAGUACCGUGAGGGAAAGGCGAAAAGAACCCCGGCGAGGGGAGUGAAAAAGAACCUGAAACCGUGUACGUACAAGCAGUGGGAGCACGCUUAGGCGUGUGACUGCGUACCUUUUGUAUAAUGGGUCAGCGACUUAUAUUCUGUAGCAAGGUUAACCGAAUAGGGGAGCCGAAGGGAAACCGAGUCUUAACUGGGCGUUAAGUUGCAGGGUAUAGACCCGAAACCCGGUGAUCUAGCCAUGGGCAGGUUGAAGGUUGGGUAACACUAACUGGAGGACCGAACCGACUAAUGUUGAAAAAUUAGCGGAUGACUUGUGGCUGGGGGUGAAAGGCCAAUCAAACCGGGAGAUAGCUGGUUCUCCCCGAAAGCUAUUUAGGUAGCGCCUCGUGAAUUCAUCUCCGGGGGUAGAGCACUGUUUCGGCAAGGGGGUCAUCCCGACUUACCAACCCGAUGCAAACUGCGAAUACCGGAGAAUGUUAUCACGGGAGACACACGGCGGGUGCUAACGUCCGUCGUGAAGAGGGAAACAACCCAGACCGCCAGCUAAGGUCCCAAAGUCAUGGUUAAGUGGGAAACGAUGUGGGAAGGCCCAGACAGCCAGGAUGUUGGCUUAGAAGCAGCCAUCAUUUAAAGAAAGCGUAAUAGCUCACUGGUCGAGUCGGCCUGCGCGGAAGAUGUAACGGGGCUAAACCAUGCACCGAAGCUGCGGCAGCGACACUAUGUGUUGUUGGGUAGGGGAGCGUUCUGUAAGCCUGUGAAGGUGUACUGUGAGGUAUGCUGGAGGUAUCAGAAGUGCGAAUGCUGACAUAAGUAACGAUAAAGCGGGUGAAAAGCCCGCUCGCCGGAAGACCAAGGGUUCCUGUCCAACGUUAAUCGGGGCAGGGUGAGUCGACCCCUAAGGCGAGGCCGAAAGGCGUAGUCGAUGGGAAACAGGUUAAUAUUCCUGUACUUGGUGUUACUGCGAAGGGGGGACGGAGAAGGCUAUGUUGGCCGGGCGACGGUUGUCCCGGUUUAAGCGUGUAGGCUGGUUUUCCAGGCAAAUCCGGAAAACUAAGGCUGAGGCGUGAUGACGAGGCACUACGGUGCUGAAGCAACAAAUGCCCUGCUUCCAGGAAAAGCCUCUAAGCAUCAGGUAACAUCAAAUCGUACCCCAAACCGACACAGGUGGUCAGGUAGAGAAUACCAAGGCGCUUGAGAGAACUCGGGUGAAGGAACUAGGCAAAAUGGUGCCGUAACUUCGGGAGAAGGCACGCUGAUAUGUAGGUGAAGUCCCUCGCGGAUGGAGCUGAAAUCAGUCGAAGAUACCAGCUGGCUGCAACUGUUUAUUAAAAACACAGCACUGUGCAAACACGAAAGUGGACGUAUACGGUGUGACGCCUGCCCGGUGCCGGAAGGUUAAUUGAUGGGGUUAGCGCAAGCGAAGCUCUUGAUCGAAGCCCCGGUAAACGGCGGCCGUAACUAUAACGGUCCUAAGGUAGCGAAAUUCCUUGUCGGGUAAGUUCCGACCUGCACGAAUGGCGUAAUGAUGGCCAGGCUGUCUCCACCCGAGACUCAGUGAAAUUGAACUCGCUGUGAAGAUGCAGUGUACCCGCGGCAAGACGGAAAGACCCCGUGAACCUUUACUAUAGCUUGACACUGAACAUUGAGCCUUGAUGUGUAGGAUAGGUGGGAGGCUUGGAAGUGUGGACGCCAGUCUGCAUGGAGCCGACCUUGAAAUACCACCCUUUAAUGUUUGAUGUUCUAACGUUGACCCGUAAUCCGGGUUGCGGACAGUGUCUGGUGGGUAGUUUGACUGGGGCGGUCUCCUCCUAAAGAGUAACGGAGGAGCACGAAGGUUGGCUAAUCCUGGUCGGACAUCAGGAGGUUAGUGCAAUGGCAUAAGCCAGCUUGACUGCGAGCGUGACGGCGCGAGCAGGUGCGAAAGCAGGUCAUAGUGAUCCGGUGGUUCUGAAUGGAAGGGCCAUCGCUCAACGGAUAAAAGGUACUCCGGGGAUAACAGGCUGAUACCGCCCAAGAGUUCAUAUCGACGGCGGUGUUUGGCACCUCGAUGUCGGCUCAUCACAUCCUGGGGCUGAAGUAGGUCCCAAGGGUAUGGCUGUUCGCCAUUUAAAGUGGUACGCGAGCUGGGUUUAGAACGUCGUGAGACAGUUCGGUCCCUAUCUGCCGUGGGCGCUGGAGAACUGAGGGGGGCUGCUCCUAGUACGAGAGGACCGGAGUGGACGCAUCACUGGUGUUCGGGUUGUCAUGCCAAUGGCACUGCCCGGUAGCUAAAUGCGGAAGAGAUAAGUGCUGAAAGCAUCUAAGCACGAAACUUGCCCCGAGAUGAGUUCUCCCUGACUCCUUGAGAGUCCUGAAGGAACGUUGAAGACGACGACGUUGAUAGGCCGGGUGUGUAAGCGCAGCGAUGCGUUGAGCUAACCGGUACUAAUGAACCGUGAGGCUUAACCUUACAACGCCGAAG